ensembl:lncRNA
GGGUCUGAUUCUGCGCAGCGGAUAACAGCGGGAGUUUAAUAAAUACACCACCGCGGCGCCGUCUACCAGCAUAGGUGACACUUACUGAGUCGAUGUCAAGUGUGACAGCACAGCAAAAGAACAGGGGUCAGCCAGCGGGGGCGUGGACGCAUACUGACACAUGUGAAGGGGGUCGAGGAAAAGGGAAACCCAGUGGAGCGGCGGGCAGGGAGAGGACAAGAAAACAACAAAUAAUGAGAAGAUGGCCAAUUGGAAUCUGAGGAGGAAUCUGAGGAACCUGAGGAGGUCUUUAAUCGAUGGGCUCCUGCCCUGAGCAGCAGCAAGAUAAAUUCCCCCCCCACCCCCUGUGGAGUUCAGACACUGGUCGCUGAUGAGACCGGUUCAGCCUUUGCUUCUGAUGAAGAUGAUGGGGUGGUGGAGGGGUGCGUGACAGCACCAUGACAUGAAACGGAAGGAGGAAGGACGGUCAUAUUUACAGCACCAACCUGAUAUGCUGAAAAUUGUAAUUGUUUCACUUGUGUUUAUUGACUAGAAGCGACCAGCUGACUAUAGAUCGACAUGGUCUCAAGCAUGACGUUUUAUUAGCCCCAUAGCUGCCUGUAUGUCGUAUCAUCAGUUUGUAAAUCUUCUUGUUUUAUAAAGCAUUUGACUGAACCGGUCAGACGGCUUUUGUCUACAGGUGGGUCCUUCUCCUGCACUGGUAUGGACAAG